AUGGGCAACAAUGUUGCAGGUGUUAUAUAUACUUUUUACUUCUUUUCAUUAACUAAUGCAAGUCAUGUUUAAUUUUCCUUUCUUGCUAUACAGGAUAAACAGUUUGGGAAGAUCCAGCUGUUCUUUCCUCAUGAUAAUCCAACAGCCAGUGUGGAAACACAAAUAAAGCCCUACAAAGCAUUUACACUGCAGCGAGCUUACAGAGGAGAGUCUUACUUCUGGGGUCUACUUCCUCAACAAGGAGACAAGCUUCAGUUUAAAUUUGAACCUCCUGUUGUACUAAAAGGGUUCCUCUUCAGGAGUGGCAAUGUGGAGCACCCUUCUGAUCGUCUCUACAACACAACAGUGGAAGUGCUUCCCACACAGCCACUCUCUAAUUUACCUGAUUAUCUCAAAAGAAAAUUGAAAACUACUGAAGAUAGCUAUAUCAUAGUUGGGGAUUUUGACGAUAUGGGUGUGGCAGAGGGGACCAUUGACGAGUCAUUUGGUGAAAUAAAAUCGCUUCGUCUCAAUGUACAUGUAGAAAGUGACAAUUGGGCUAUAUUAAGUGAGAUACACAUUGAAACUGCAGACUCUAGGUGACCCGACGCCAUGUUGGCAUUCACCCUCUGGUGCCAGUGUCACAGCAUAUCAUGCCAACAGUGACCUUGGUUCCUUGUAUCUCGCUAAUUUUAUACUUAAUACUUCAGUACCUGUGUUAUCAAGGAUGUAUUUUACUGAAAAUAUUUAUUGGUGGUAGUUGUAUAAAUAAGUAGAUUUUGAUAAUCACCAUAUCUAAUCUAUUUGUUAUUAAAUCUCUAGAUAAUGCUGGUAUUAAAGUAUUGAGCAAGAUAAAAUAUUAAUAUGGUGAUUAUGAUUUUUUUUCGUAAGCUUAAGAGUUCAUUGAUGUUUGUUAAUAGUAAAAAAAUAUAAUAUUUUCUUAGGAAUUUGUAGCAAAAUAUAGGAAUCUCUACAUGCACUGCUGCUGCAUCAACAAAAGUUUUUAUAAAACAAACUUGUUUUGUUGAAUCUCACAAAAUUUACAUGAAGACUCAUCAUUUGUAUGUAAAAGAGAGACUUUGUGAGAUAGAAGUAACUGCUGUGCAGCACUUAUUUAGCUGAUGCUCAUGUUUGUAUGAAAAAGAAACAGUAAUUAUGUAAAAGAUAGUAUCAUUAAAAAAGUUUCUGUAUACGUUAAUAGUGAAAACCCAAUGAAGAAAAUAUUUGAAUGCAAGGACUGUUAUAAUUAAUACUGGUUGUAAGUGAUUAUAAAUAUGAAUACAUGAAUUGGUACAGAAACUAUUUUGAACCAAAGGAUUGUUGUAAUAAUUUUGUGUUAAGUUAUUUGAAUACAUGAAUCUAACAAUGAGUAGUAGUUUUUAAAACAAAGUAGGUGUGGAAAUAUGGAUACGUUAUUGUACUGUAAGCACUGGCGUUUUUCUCUGCCACAUUUUAGGUUUUUAUUUGAUGUCCAUAAAUAAGUUUAUGGCUUCUUUAGGGACUUAUAUUGAAAGAAUUCACUUUCAAGUGAAUAUGCAAGGUGUUUUAGGACAAAGCACAGUUUUUUGUGUAGUACAGUAUAAUGCGGAAAAAAAAAUGAAAAUUUUGUAUUAUUAUAAUCAUUAAGUGCUAAACCCAUUGAAAAUUUCAUACCCUGUAAGCUAGUUUUAUUGCCAAGGAAAGAAGAGGACUAAGCUAGAUAACCUACUAGAAGCUGACUUCACACAGGUCAACCAGGUAAUGUUAAAUGGAUAAUCUUGUGCAAACGUGACACGUUUUGAAGCGAGAGGGAUAAAAGAAGUGUUUUAGGGUGGAAUUGCAUUUUGAGUGUUUAGGACAUUAUUUAUCCAGUUAGAAUAAUAGAUACUGAUAACUGUGCAUGAGGUAUACACCAAAUAUGACCCACUCUGACACCACAGCUUCAACAUGUGAAGUAAAUGCAGAUGAAGGCUAAGGCUAGGGCAUGUAAGAGGGAGCGGAAUAGACAGGGAUACAUGAUGUCACACUGGUUUAUUAUUAUUAUAAUCAAAAAGAAGCGCUAAGCCACAAGGGCUAUACAGUGCUGCCACACUGGUUUAACAUAUUUAUAGAUGGGUUGGGGUAUAGGAUUGAAAGAUGUUGGGUCUAAUGCAGUGCAAGAGCUAUCAGUUGCUCUUUACUGAUGACAGUUCUUUUAGGGGAUUCCGAAGGCUAAAUUGCAAAGCUUUGUGGAUGAAUUUGGGAGGAUAUGUAAAAAACGGAAAUCAAAAGUGAGCUUAAAUAAAAAGCAAGGUGAUUAAGUAUAAGAAAGUCUAGGCACUGAUAGACAAAUAUCAGACUGAAGGGAGUAUGGAAGAAGGUGCAUGUAUUUAGAUAUUUAGGAGCAGAUAUCAGCAGAUGGGUCUAUACAAGAUGAGAUGAGCCAUAAAAUAGAUGGGGGAAAAAGGUGGGUGGUGUGUUGAAAUAUCUGUGGAAAAUAAUUAUCUAAGGAGGUGCAAAAAAAAAAAAAAAAGGGGGGGGGGGGAAUGUAUCAGAAUAUAGUGACACCAACUCUUAUAUGGGUGUAUAACAUGGAGAUAUCUUGCUAGAAAAUGAUGUGUGGUGUGAAUAUCAUGCUGAGAAUUCAGAGCAUAGAAAUUAAAGGGUGAUGUGGGGUCACCAAGGGUAUAAUUCAAAAAGCUGAGAAGGGGGGGGGGGUCAAGAUAGUUUGGGUAUGUAGAGAGGAUGGGUGUAUUAAUCUAGGGUGGAGGGUAGGAGGGGGUUGGGGUGUUCCCAGGAACAGCUGGAUGAAGGAAUAAAGGAGACUGAGUUUUAGGGGCUUGUGUGAGCAUAUUAGAUAGGAGUGAAUGGAGACAAGUAGCUUUUAGUGUACAUGCUGUUGGAGUAUGAGCAAGGUUACAUUUAUGAAGGAUUCCAGAAAACUGGUAAGCCAGAUUUGAGUACUGGAGUUGGUAGACAGUGCUUGUUUUCUGAAGGAGGGAGGGGUGGGAGAUGAUGCAGUCAGAGCAUAAUCUGAAUUCCUGCAAGACAGUGACUGACUGAAUAAUGGUGCAUGAGUUUUCUCUUCUGAGUCACGAUAUUUUGGCGGGAGACUUCUGUCUAGAGAAAAAAAGAAUUCAUUGCACACGUGCCUGUCAUAGAAAAUGCCUAAGAUUUUUAUUAUCAUGCACUUUUAUGGCUAAUAUAUAAAACAAGCAGAAUAUAUUUAUAACAUUCCUACCUUAACAUAUAAAAAUGUACAAUGUGUCAAAAAAUAUAAAGAUAACGUAUUGUCAUAUUGUUAAAUGCAUGUUAAUUUUAAUAGUACUGUAAUAUACUAGGUAUUUGUAUUAAUCAUACAAUUAAGCUGAGUUUUUGGUAUAUGCCAGGAUGAAGAAUAAUGAAAAAAUGAAUUUAAACUUUUUUUUAACUACAGUAGUACCUCGGGAUACGAACAGCUCAAAACGCUAACAAUUAUGUAAGUGCUUUUGUAAGUGUAUUUUUGGGGGUCUGAAAGGGAUUAAUCCAAUUUACAUUAUUCCUUAUGGGAACAGAUUCGUUCGGUAUCAGCACUUGAACAGCCUUCAGGAACAAAAUAAGUUUGUAUCCCGAGGUACCACUGUAUUUUCACCAUGCACUGUAUAUGACAAUACGGAUAUUUCUUACGGCACAGAUAAAAUUACAAUCAUGUUCACUAAAAAAUUUUUUGAUAUGCCAUAGCUGUAUGAAUAGAAGCUGUUUAAAUGACUAAUUCCCAUGUUUAUUUAAAAACACUUAGCAUACAUGGUGUAACAUUAAUGGUAAGUAACAGUGGCCUUUAUUGUGAAUGUCUUCCACAGUGUUUACAAAAUGAGAAUACUAGUCUAAUAAAAGUUAUAGGUUGACCAUUUUCCAUUAAAGCUUGAUUGUAGUGAGGAGUAUUGUGUAGCAAAACUACUUAGAAAGAUCUCUCUUGCAACAAUUGGGUGUACCUAGCAUUUUUCACAGUGCAUAUUGUGCAAGGUUUAGUAAGAAUCUUAGCUUGAAUAUAUACAAAAAAAAUACUGGCAGUAGGUGCCUGUUAUUUAGUGCUGUGCAGUUUAACCGCAGUUGAAAGUACAGUAGUGUUAUUCCAAGUGCUUCAUGUUUUCUCACAUUAUCAAGCACAGCAAAAGUAAUAAAGCUACAGAAGUCUUAUAUAACAGAUGUGACUAACCUCACAAUUAAAACAAAUUAUUGUGGUCCAUCAAAUAUACUGAUGUAUGGUAUCAGACGAAGUGAUGUGAUCUACUGAACUAAUAAAAAUAAGCCCAAAAAUUCAGAUGCACAUUAGUGUUUUACAUACACCCCCUCACAGUGAUGCCUGAUAAUCAAGCAUAGACUGGUUAUACAUAUUUAACCCGUAAACGGUCCAAGCAGAUCUACGUUUUUUUUUACAUAUUUUCAAAUAUAACAAAAAAAAAGUAGAUCAAAGUUUUUUACACAUCUUCAAAUGUAAAAAAACAAAAAGAAGAUUACUUUUUUUACAUACUUUCAAAUGUUGAAAAAACGUAUAUAUACGUUUGGACCGUUUACGGGUUAAAUACACAGUACGACAUGCAAUAAGAUCACAAGAAAUGCAUCUUAAUAUGCAAUGUAGUUACAGUGAAGAGUAAUAUGGGUUGGCCAUCAUAAAUCCGGUUCUAUCAGUAAUCCGUCACCUAUUACGGCUAGCAUAAUUUCAAAUUUUCGGGGUCGCUACACCAAUCUGCUGCUACUGUUUGGUGGUGCUACUUGCUGCAUAAAUCAUUUCAAUUUGUUUUUCCCCAUUUAUUGUUAUAACCUGCUCACUUUUAGCCCUAGCCAUGGUUCCAACGAAUAAAAGAAAUGCUUCUCAUUGUGUAAAGCACAUACACUGUACAUUGUCCAUAAAAGAUAAGGCUGCUUUGAAGCCACUGUCGGUUGCCAUGAGCUCAGCUAACUCAGAUAAGCUGUGACCAGUAAAUUUGGGCCUACAUAUGAGAGAAUAGGUCUGUGUAGUAAGUGUGCACUAUAUAAAAAAAGUCCUGCAGUAUGCAGUGCAAAAUGAAAAAAAAAUGGUAACUGUGCUUUUGGUGUAAAACAGUGAUUUUGUAGUGCAGUUUUGUAUGGUGGUAUUCUCGUUUUUUUGGUCUCAUUUGAUAGAAUGGAAGAUAUAUUACAGAAAUAGAUAUAAUUUUGAUUGGUCUCAUGCUGGAAAGUACCUUAAAAUUGAGCUCAAAGUAGUGGAAAUGUUAAAUUUUUGCCUAUGUUCUAGAGUAAACAAACGAUGUCACUGUCCAAUGUGUGUCCAACUGGCCAGUAUAAUAUGCAGUCACGAAUGGGUUGACAUUAUUUAUACAAUUAUUACAAUAAUGCAGUAGUCUUCAGAAUAGUAUAUCUUCUAUUUUUUGUGUGAAUAAAAAUUCAAAAUGGAAAGCAAAUGUAAUAUAAGAGGGGCCUGGAGAUGUGACUGAUGAACUGAGAAAAUGUUAUUUUAGUGCCAGGAAUGUCUGCACUGUUUAUUCUGGACCCUAUUUUGAAAUUGGCAUCUCUUGAAAUUUGUGCAAAAUUAGCCAAAUUACCAAUUUCUGACCACUCUAUUGGGUAGAUGAAAUAGGUAAAUGGGCAGUUUCUUGUACUCAGUCGACAGAAUAGAAGGAAUACUAGUAAAAUAGCUGAGUUUGGUAAACUGGAACAAUGGAAUGGGUAAAAAAUAGGGCGUAAAGUUGGUGAAAUCGCUGAUGCGUAAAUAUCGCCAAAGGGUUAAGUGUAUUCUAACCUAACCACUCUGUAAUCCGGCAAAAAUCGCUAAUCCAGCACCCUACAGGUCCCAAUGACGCCAGAUUAGUGAUGGCCAACCUGUACUAUUCUAAGUGUUUUCAUAUUUUCUUAUGGCUUGGAAGCAUCCUCAGCUUGCACACUGAGGGUCCGAGACUGAUCCCUGGCAUGGGUGAAACAUUGGACAUGUUUCCUUAUACCUACUGCUCCUGUUCACCUAGCAGUAACUAGGUAUCUGGGUGUUAGCCAACUGUUGUGGGUCACAUCCUGGGGAACAAGUCUAACUUAGGCUGCCCAAAAUGCUCUGCAUAACCAGGGGUUUUCUAUAAAGUAUGGCAACAAUGUCAACUAGGUCUCUAUCAGCUGUAUCAUGUAUUUUGUAGAAACAAUAUUACUAUUACUUUUUAUUUAUUAUUACACGUACAGUCAGUGGUUUGCUAGAUACCUCACUGAGUGUGCAUGUGAGGUCACAUCUCUGUUAUAUAAGACCUCUGUAGCUUUAUUACUUCUGCAAUGUUUAUUACAAAACAAAUUAUAAACAACAAUGCUCAUGAAGUUUAAUUCAUUAAGGUGGCAAACAUUACCUAUGAUAUAUUUAAGAGUAUUGAUUAAUUUUAUUAAUCUAUGUAAUAGUGGCAAACUUGUGUACCAGAACUUCAGUGAGUGGCUACGUAUCCAUGGAUAACAUAAAUAAGUCACUGACAACGAGGGAGAUGUGUAUUAAAAGCAGAGGAGUGGAGAGAAACCUCAAUACAGUAUACAAGGGACAAAUAUAUUUUUAUUUUUAUUUUAUGUUUUUAGAAUAUUUGUUUGGCACCCCAAUGACUACAUGCAUAUCAUUUUCAAGAACCAAAGGAAAGACAAACUUUUAUUUAAAUCCAGAACCAACCAGCCUGACUGCUCAGUAUUUUUUUUUUUACAUAUGCAGUAGUAAGCACACAGUAUAUCUGGUAGAAAAAUAUAUCAUGUAUGAAAGAAAAUAUUAAAUUCCAAGACAACAUAACUUUUGACUUUUUCAUAUUAUAGAAAUGCUACCAACUUUUUUCUUUUUUUGGUCUCUAACAGAAAAUAUAGAAAAAAAAAUAUAAUUCAAUCCCUAAUUAGAUGACUAGGAAUAUCAAGAAAAGGUCAAAAUUAACUCUAGAGUUUCACAAAUAAAAUAUAAACAACUUUUCACACACAAUAUAUGUAAAAAAUAAGAUAGUAAAUUAAAUAUUGUACAUGUACAAUACUCAAGUCAUCUUCAGUUAUAAAUAAUUUUGCCAUAAACUAAUUAUCUAUUUUAUAUUGUUUGUUGCAUAUGUUCCACCCAUAAAACCAUCCGAUAAAUAUAAUAAAAUUACACGACCCUGUAAUAAUAUCAGUUUUUAGAUAUCUAACACUGCCAUCUACCCUCACAUAUGUACAAACUUUUACAUGUACCAUCUUCCUCUUUCCCUUUCUAAAUUCACCUCCUCCCAAUGUCACUCCCCUUGCCACAUUAUUUUUCUUAUAUAACCUUUUCAUAAUUUUUGUUUGUACGAUUAGUAACUUUACCAGCUAUUCUAAUAUUGUACUCCUCUAAUCACUCUUGGGUGUGUAAUCUCUCUUUUCUGAAAUUGAAUGACGUUUGCAUUUUUGCUGUCACUUUAUAUAAAUUAAUGUACAGUGGAACCUCAGCUUACGAAUUUAAUCUGUUCCGUGACCUUGUUUGUAUCUUGAUUUGUUUGUAUGCUGAGUAAAUUUUCCUCAUUUAAAUUAAUUGAAAUGGCAUUAAUCCGUUCCAGCGGAAUUCCUGCUCUUAGGAGGCACGACAAAAUACGUACUCCAAUAUGAUGCUAAUAUCAACUCAACAGCUUAUUUAUAUAUCACAAUUCAUCUAAUUUCACCAUCACUCAAGGAAUGCACAACAGGUGCAUCAUUGUCAGUGUUGAGCAUUUCUUCGAUGUCAGCUUUGUGUAACUCCAUUACCACACAGUCAAGAUGAGUAAAUAGAAUUGUCAACGCUUAUUGCUUGGGUACGUUUAUUCUGUUAGUGGGGUGGAUCUGUGAAGGACCUGCCUAGUAUGGGCCAACAGGCCUACUGCAGUGUUCCUCCUUUAUGUUGUUAUGUACCCAUGACACCAGUCAUACCCAUCCCCUCCCACUCAUAUAUUUGUCCAAUCUCUUUUUAAAGCUACCCAAGGUUCUAUCGAAGCCAAAACCUUGGGUAGUUUCAAAUUUAGGUUGGAUAAAUACAUGAGUGAGAGGGAAUGGAUUUGAGUGGGACUUGGACGUGAGUAAAUAGGAUUAUUAAACAGAUAUGAGCAGGAAGGGUAAAGAAAAAGGAGGGUCUAUAAAAAUAUAUUAUGUUAAUAGCCAUAGUGCUAGGAAUAAGAUGGAUGAGUUGAGAUUAGUUGCUAGUGCAGGUAACAUUGAUGUAUUUGCAAUCACUGAGACAUGGUUUAAUUCCAAAAGUCGGGACAUGCCUGCGGAAUGUCACAUUCAGGGUUUAAAUUGUUCCAAGUAGAUAGAAAUAUCGGUAAGGGGGUGGGGUGGCACUGUAUGUCCGAGAUCGCUUGAACUGUUGCAUAAAAAUGGGUAUUAACCCUUAAACGGUCCAAACGUAUAUAUAUGUUCACUCGCGUAGCGCCCCAACUUUUUUUGAGGAAAAAAACAAUCUUUUCUUUUAAAAGGAAAAAAGAGCAUAUGGUACCCAGCAUCCCCAAUUAUUUUAAUAUGGCACACAGUGAGUGCGCACACCCAUUCUCUCAUGUCUAGGUGACUCAGGCUUAUUGUGGCAAUGUUGAAUGAAUGACAAAGAAAACGUAUAUAUACGUUUGGGGCGCUACGCGUGUGGACGUAUAUAUACGUUUGGACCGUUUAAGGGUUAAGUCUGAAAUAACACAUACAGAGUCUGUCUGGAUAGAAUUUUCAGAGGGCCAUGAAAAAUUGAUUCUAGGAGUGAUAUACUGUCCCCCCCAAACUUAGAUAGGGACCAAGGAAAAUUACUGUGGGAGGAAAUUGUUAAGGCCACAAGGCACAAUAAUGUAGUAAUUCUAGGGGACUUAAACUUUAGUCACAUUGAUUGGAAUUUCUUGACUGGGAAUUUAGAAUCAAAUGACUUCCUAGAAGUAGUUCAGGACUGUUUUUUGAAGCAGUUUGUGACAGAACCUACAAGGGGAAAUAAACUGCUUGAUUUGGUUCUGGCAAACAAGGAAACCCUUGUUAAUAAUUUAGAAAUUACAGAGGAACUUGGCACAAGCGAUCACAAGUCAAUUACCUUUAGCAUAGAAUGGCAGUAUGAUAGUAGGGAUAGCUCAGUAACAGUUCCAGAUUUUCACUUAGCAGAUUACAAUGGGCUUAGAGAACACUUAUCAUCUGUUGACUGGGGUAAUGAAGAGAGCUAUCAAUAUGACAAAUAACAAAAAAAGGCACAAUACCGUGACUGGAACGAUACACAAAUAACCCGCACAUAAAAGAGAGAAGCUUACGACGACGCUUCGGUCCGACUUGGACCAUUUACAAAGUCACACUAACCAGAAGUGGAGCAGGACGGCUAUAUAUAGGCAGGAAGAGGUGGUGGUAGUGGUAGUAGUAGUAGUAGUAGUAGUACAAAGACACCCAGACGCCGCACAUGUGUCUUAAUUUCAUCAGUAGUAGUAGUAGUGGUAGUUGUAGAAGUGGGGAAUAAGGAGGACGAGCCAGUCAAAUACAAAGGAAGGGGAGCACUUCAAGGGAGCUAGGUGCCCACAGAGGGAGAGCAAGCGCACAGAGGUGCGUGAAAUGGGAAGUGGUGAAAUAAGUGAAGAAGGAACAGAAACACGAGACAGAAGAGAGAAAGACAACCCAGAGGAGAAAAAGGAAAGAGGAAAGGGGAAGAGCACCUCUGUGUGCUUGCUCUCCCUCUGUGGGCACCUAGCUCCCUUGCAGUGCUCCCCUUCCUUUGUAUUUGACUGGCUCGUCCUCCUUAUUCCCCACUUCUACAACUACCACUACUACUACUACUGAUGAAAUUAAGACACAUGUGCGGCGUCUGGGUGUCUUUGUACUACUACUACUACUACUACUACCACCACCACCACCUCUUCCUGCCUAUAUAUAGCCGUCCUGCUCCACUUCUGGUUAGUGUGACUUUGUAAAUGGUCCAAGUCAGACCGAAACGUCAUCGUAAGCUUCUCUCUUUUAUGUGCGGGUUAUUUGUGUAUCAAUAUGACAGUUUUCUGAACACCAUACGUGCUGCCCAAAGAACGUUUAUCCCAUAUAAAGAAAUUAGAUCAAAUAGAAAUGGCCCAAAAUGGAUGAAUAAUAGGCUCAAAUAUCUUUUAGGGCAUAAGAAAGGAAUUUAUAGGCAUAUCAAAAGAGGUUAGGGUCAUCUUAUGAAUCAGUAUAUUGACAUUAAGAGGGACAUUAAAAAGGGGAUAAGAAAAGCUAAACGGGACUAUGAAAUUAAAGUUGCUAGGGAUUCGAUAACUAACCCUAAAAGGUUUUUCCAGGUGUGUAGAACAAAAGUUAGAGAUAAGACAGGUCCCCUUAAAAAUAACUAUGGGCAUCUUACUGACAAAGAGAACGAAAUGUGCUCGAUUUUAAAUAAUUAUUUUCUCUCUGUUUUUACACAAGAAGACACUAACAGUAUUCCAGUAAUUAAUUUUUAUAGUGGGCCUGAAGAAGAUAAAUUAUAUAACAUCACAGUCACUAGUGAAAUGGUUAUGAAACAAAUAGACCGACUGAAGCAAAAUAAGUCGCCGGGUCCUGAUGAGCUUUUUUCCAGGGUUCUUAAGGAAUGUAAAAUGGAACUGUGUGAACCAUUAACUAAUAUUUUUAAUUUAUCUCUUCAAACAGGUGUAGUGUCUGAUACGUGGAAGAUGGCUAAUAAGAACAUAAGAAAGGAGGAACACUGCAGUAGGCCUGUUGGCCCAUACUAGGCAGGUCCUUUACAAUCCUUCCCACUUACAAAAUAUUUGCCCAACCCAAUUUUCAAUGCUACCCAAGAAAUAAAUUUUGAUGAUUCUAUUUACUCAUUAUGCAAGUCUCACUAAAAUCCAACCCCUCUCACUCGUGUAUUUAUCUAACCGAAAUUUGAAACUACCCAAUGUUUUAGCUUCAAUAACCCUACUAGGCAGGCUGUUCCACUCAUCAACUACCCUAUUUCCAAACCAAUACUUUCCUAUAUCCUUUCGAAAUCUAAACUUAUCUAAUUUGAAUCCAUUAUUGAGGGUUCUUUCUUGAAGGGAUAUCCUCAAAACCUUAUUUAUAUCCCCUUUGUUAAUACCCAUCUUCCACUUAUACACUUCGAUCAUGUCUCCCCUCAUUCUUCAUCUUACAAGUGAAUGUAAUUUAAGAGUCUUCAAUCGUUCUUCGCACGGAAGAUUUCUAAUGCUAUAUAUUAAUUUGGUCAUUCUACGCUGGAUAUUUUGUAGCGAAUUUAUAUCCAUUAUAAUAUGGAGACCAGAGCUGAGCUGCGUAAUCUAGGUGAGGCCUUACUAAUGAUGUAUAAAGCUGUAAAAUAACUGCUGGACUUCUGUUGCUUACACAUCUUGAUAUAAAUCCCAGUAAUCUGUUUGCCUUAUUACGUAUGCUUAGGCACUGCUGUCUUGGUUUAAGGUUGCUGCUUAUCAUAACCCCCAAGUUCUCUUCACAAUCUGUAUGGCUAAGUUAUACAUUAUUUAACUUAUAAGUGCUAGGGUUAUGGACACUCCCAAGCUUCAGAACCUUGCAUUUAUCUACAUUGAACUGCAUCUGCCACUUUUCUGACCAAGAAUUGAGUUUGUCUAAAUCCUCCUGAAGUUCCGUGACAUCUAAGUUUGAAUCAAUUAUCCUACCUAUCUUUGUGUCAUCGGCGAAUUUGCUCAUAUCACUAGUAAUUCCCUCAUCAAGGUCAUUGAUAUAUAUUAUAAACAACAACGGGCCUAAAACUGAUUCCUGUGGUACACCACUUAUUACAGAUCCCCACUCGGAUUUAACCCCAUUUAAACAUACUCUCUGCUUCCUAUUGGUGAGCCAUGAUUCGAUCCAUGACAGCACUUUUGCCCCAAUGCCAUGAGCUACCACUUUCUUUAACAGUCUCUGGUGUGGUACUCUAUCAAAAGCCUUACUAAAAUCUAAAUAAACAAUAUCGAAUUCUUUAGCAUAAUCAAUGGCUUCAAAAGCUUUACUGAAGAAAGUUAAUGAAUUACAGUGGACCCCCGGUUCACGUUAUUAAUCCGUUCCUGAGAGCUCAUCAUAAAGCAAAAUUAUCGGAAAGCGAAUCAAUUUUCCCCAUAAGAAAUAAUGGAAAUCAAAUUAAUCCGUGCAAGACACCCAAAAGUAUGAAAAAAAAAAACUUUUACCACAUGAAAUAUUAAGUUUAAUGCAAUAGAAUAAUUACAAUAACAAUAAUAACAAUAGAAUAAUCACAAUAGAAUAAUUGACACUUACCUUUAAUGAAGAUCUGAUGAUGAUUGAUGGGAUGGGAGGAGGGGAGAGUGUCGAAGUUUUUAAUGUUUAGAAGGGGAAUCCCCCUCCAUUAGGAUUUGAGGUAGCAAGUCCUUUUCUGGGGUUACUUCCCUUCUUCUUUUAAUGCCACUAGAACUAGCUUAAGAGUCACUGGACUUCUGUCACACAACAUAUCUGUCCAUAGAGGCCUGUACCUCUUGUUCCUUUAUGACUUUCCUGAAGUGGUUCACAACAUUGUCAGUGUACAGGUUGCCAACACGGCUUGCAGUAGCUGUGUCAGGGUGAUUUUCAUCAUACUAUGUAUGCCACACUAUGUAUGCCACUACGAUUCUUAAAUCUUUCAAACCAACCUUUGCUGGCCUUAAAUUCACUCACAUCACUAGUUGCAGCCAUUUUUCUAAUUAAAUCCUCAUGCAACUACCUAGCCUUUUCACAAAUGACCAAUUGAGAGAUGCUAUCUCCUGCUAUCUGUUUUUCAUUUAUCCACACCAAUAACAGUCUCUCAACAUUUUCUAACACUUGCGAUCGCUGUUUUGUAAUCACAGUUGCACCUUUUGCAAGAACAGCUUCCUUGAUUGCCGUUUUCCUGCUCACUAUAGUAGAGAUGGUUGAUUGGGAUUUACUAUACAACUUGGCCAGGUCCGACACACACACACUCCACUUUACUUUGCAAUUAUCUCUUUCUUCAUUUCAAUAGUCAUUAGCACCCUUGGUCUCGAUGAGUGACUUAUUUUGCAGAAACAAGCACCAAAAACAGUGAUAAUACAGAUAAUAUGGAAUGUACCGAAUGUAUCCUUAGAUGCGCGCACACUGGCUGGCUUGUAAACACUGGCACACAUGGGGCAGUUCAGGCCACACGUGGACACGUCUCGUACGAAUCAUAUCGCAUACCGGGUUUUGUAACGGGAACUGAGGCAAAUUUUUUGCGAUAUAAUGCUUCAGAUACCGGAUUUAUCGGAUACCAAUGACUUCACGAACCGGGGGUCCACUGUAGUUAGGCAGGAAUGGCCCCUCGUGAAUCCAUGCUGAGUAUCAUUAAUCAAGCUGUGCUUAUCGUUAUUGAGAUGGCUUCUUAUAUUAUCAGCUAUAAUUGACUCUAGUAAUUUGCCGACAAUUGAGGUUAGGCUUAUUGGGUGGUAAUUUGAUGGUAACGACUUGUCCCCUGCUUUAAAAAUAGGAAUUACACUAGCCAUCUUCCACAUAUCAGACACUGCACCUGUUUGAAGAGAAAUAUUAAAAAUAUUAGUCAAUGGUUCACAAAGUUCCAUUUUACACUCUUUAAGAACCCUUGAAAAAAGUUCAUCAGGGCCCGGGGAUUUAUUUUGCUUUAACCGGUCUAUCUGUUUGAUAACCAUUUUGCUAGUGACUGUGAUAUUGCAUAAUCAUCUUCAGGCCCAUUAUAAAAAUUAAUUACUGGGAUAUUGUCAGUGUCUUCCUGAGUGAAAACUGAGAGAAAAUAAUUAUUAAGAAUAGAGCACAUUUCAUUAUCCUUGUCAGUAAGAUGCCCAGAGUUACUUUUAAGGGGACCUAUCUUAUCUCUAACUUUUGUUCUAUAAACCUGGAAAAAACUUUUGGGUUAGUUUUCGAAUCCCUAGCAACUUUAAUUUCAUAGUCCCAUUUAGCUUUUCUUAUCCCCUUUUUAACAUCAAUAUACUGAUUCAUAAGAUGAACCUCACCUCUUUUGAUAGGCCUAUAAAUUCCUUUUUUCUGUCCUAAAAGAUAUUUGAGCCUAUUAUUCAUCCAUUUGGGGUCAUUUCUAUUCAAUCUAAUUUCCUUAUAUGGGAUAAAUGUCCUUUGGGCAGCAUGUAUUGUGUUAGGAAAGCUGUUAUACUGAUGGCUCUCUUCGUUACUCUAGUCCACAGAUGAUAAGUGUUCUCUCUAAGCCCAUUGUAAUCUGCUAAGCAAAAAUCUGGGACCAUUACUGAAUUAUCCCUACUGUGAGACUGUGUGACUGUGUGUGUGUGUGAGACUCACACACAGUCACUCACACUGUGGUGUAUGAAUGGAAAACAAGAAUUAAUAAAGGGGAUGUAAAUAACGUUUGAUAAACAUAUUAGGUUGGAUAAACACAUGAGUGAGAGGCGUUGGAUUUGAGUGGGACUUGCACAUGAGCAAAUAGAACUAUCAAAGCCUAUUGCUUGGGUAGCAGUGUAAUUCCUAUUUUUAAAGCAGGGGACAAGUCGUUACCGUCAAAUUACCGCCCAAUAAGCCUGACCUCAAUUGUAGGCAAAUUACUAGAGUCAAUUAUAGCUGAGAUUAUAAGAAGCCAUCUGGAUAAGCAUAAUCUGAUUAAUGAUACUCAGCAUGGAUUCACAAGAGGCCGUUCUUGUCUAACUAAUUUAUUAACUUUCUUCAGUGAAGUUUUUGAGGCUGUUGAGCACAAUAAAGAAUUUGAUAUUAUUUACUUAGAUUUUAGUAAGGCUUUUGAUAGAGUUCUGCACCAAAGACUGUUAAAGAAAGUGGCAGCUCAUGGCAUUGGGGAAAAAGGGAAAAGGGAUUGAGUCAUGGCUCACAGACAGAAAGCAGUGUGUCCAUAAAUGGGGUUAAAUCCGAGUGGGAAUCUGUAACAAGUGGCGUUUCACAGGGAUCAGUCUUGGGCCCGUUGUUGCUUAUAAUAUAGUAUAUCAAUGAUCUUGAUAAGGGAAUUACUAGUGAAAUGAGAAAAUUUGCCGAUGACACAAAGAAAGGAAGGAUAAUUGAUUCACACGUUGAUAUCAGGGAACUUCAGGAGGAUUUAGACAAACUCAAUACCUGGUCAGAAAAGUGGCAGAUACAGUUCAGUGUACACAAAUGCAAGGUUCUGAAGCUCAGGAGUGUCCAUAACCCUAGCAUUUAUAAGUUAAAUAAUGCAGAACUUAGCCAUACAGAUUGCAAAAAGGACUUAGCGGUUAUGAUAAGCAGUAACCUUAAACCAAGACAGCAAUGCUAAGCGUACGUAAUAAGGCAAACAGAUUACUGGGAUUUAUAUCAAGAAGUGUAAACAACAGAAGUUCAGCAGUUAUAUUACAGCUUUAUACAUCAUUAGUAAGGCCUCACCUAGAUUAUGCAGCUCAGUUCUGGUCUCCAUAUUACAGAAUAGACAUAAAUUCAUUAGAAAACAUUCAGCGUAGAAUGACUAAAUUAAUACAUAGCA